GAAUGCAAGUGAAGGGGAGGGGUUAGCAUGAUGAGCUCUCAUUUAGCUGCAUAGAUCUUCCCCAUGGAGAGCCUACAGCUACCAGGAAAAACUCCUUGGAAUGCUCCUAAGUGUAAGUGAAAGACAGGUGUGCAUAGGGUGGUGGUGGCGGGUGUGAGGGCCAGAGCUGCCAAAACCACCAGGUCUCCCCGGUAAAUCCUUUCUGAACAGACCCAUAGGCUUGAACAGAGCAGACGAUGUUCCCUGUCUCUUCUCUCAUCCCCGUGUCUGCAGAUGCAGACCCACGGUGCCUGAAAACCCAUGGCUCCACCCAGGCCUGCCUCUGCCUGGUCUCCCUCCAUCUGCCCUGUGUUGCUGGGAGUGAGCUGGUCCAUUUGGCUGGAGCAAGGCGAUGAAGAGAAGGGCCCUGUCAAGGAAAUGGGGGCAGCCAUCCUCUCCUGCCCAGCCACGUGCUCUUGAGAAAGGUGACGGUGGGAGCAAGAGGGAGAAUGGGCCUGGCUCUCUCUGUCUUGCACAGAAGACCACAGGGCAGAAUGAAGUCACAGAGCACUCAGGAAUGGAAUUAAGCUGAUCCAGGCUGUGCUUUUUUCUGGGCUUCAUCUUUCUGUCAAUAAACUGGGCAUUAUAAUCUCUAUAAUU
rnacentral:lncRNA from 1 species